AGAAGUAAUACGCAGGUCACAAUGCCAUUUUGUUCAUAUGGCGACUUCCCCAGCUUCCGAUGGUGGUAGGGAAGACCCCGGGUGACCCUCCUGGAUGGCAUCACCGACCUUUCCGUAAAUCAGAUAAAUUCUCAGGAUAUUGCUACGGAUCAGCCGAAAAGGAUCGACUGGUUUCAAAAACCAUCGCAGCUAUCGAGGACGUUCGCCCAAGUAUACCACGCAAACAUUACAAUAUACGAUUUGUGCCUUUCUUCGAUACUAACGGCAAACCUCAAGGAAACACAGAAUUUCUUAUGAUAAGUGUUGAAGGGACCAAUAAGACGUGGCAAAAGAUAAUGUACAGAAAUGCAAGUCAAGUAAUAUACAUCUGCCAUCAUGGUCACAUACGUGAAGCCGAAGGAUACGAAAUAGAGGAAAUAUUGCGAAGGGAAAGCCAACGAGAUGACAUGAAAAAAUAUUUUGAAAGAGAACGUAAAAUUUUUGAAGAGAUUGUAGAACAACAGAAGAAAGAGUUAGAAGAUAAACAAGAUGCAUUAAACAGAGUAAUGGUUGAACUUGUCAAUAGAAAGGCUUCAGACGAAUGCGUGGAACACGAAGAAGAUAAGAAUGAUAAUGAUAAAAGAGGCGACGCGAAUGCCAAUGAAGACUGCGUCAAGAACCCCAGUCGCAAGAAAAAGGACGAAUUGUAUAAAUCUAGACUAUGUGUUGUUUCUUAAUUAGAGUGUAUAAUUAAAUUGUUGUGAGAGAUUUUGACAACAUGACAAGAAGUCACAAAUGGUUCCCAGCAGAAGUGCUCCUGUGAUAUUAUCGUUGUAGCUUUGGUUAAUUGCCAGAAGGAAGUUUAAUGCAAAAUUAAAAUUCAAGAAUACUUUUUGGAAUUGUUUGAAUUGAUUCUGGAGCGCGGAGUGUGUUGAGUUCUUUGGCAAUUCUUUUGAAUAUUGAUAAUAUGCCUGUAUCUAUGAGUAAAUUAGACUUUUGAAGCUUAAAAAUGUUGACACUUAUUUUGUGCAUUGUUUUCAAUGACUUCUUAACAUUGCAUGUAUAACAAGAUACACAGAAAUACCUUUGAUACAAUUUUAUAGAGCAUUUUAAAGUUCUUUAACUGUGAACUGUGUUUAACUGUGUGCACAUAUUUAUGUUUUAAAUUUUUGUAUCAGAUUUGGAAGAAAAGGGUUGGAACCCUAUUAAAUUCUUUAAUUUAAACAAUAAAUAUAUGAUCUCUCUUUUGAAGUCAAAUACAGGACCGUAGAGAGCAUUUUCAGAUUGUGGGGAUGGGGGCCGACCUACUCACCAGAGAUAUUCUACAAUUAUGUUACCCUUUAUUUCUUCAGAAAUAAUCAAACAAGUCCUGAUUUCUGAGCUUUUAUUUUGUAGAUGUAGUGAAAUGUGGGGUAGAUGGGGAUUAAUGAGAGUAGUGCUCUCGUGCCGGGCGAAUGUCCGAAACCUUGGGGACAGCAGACAAAUAACUCUGGGGCUGUUAGUUCUCUAUUGUGUCCAGACUCGAGUUUUGAGGAAAUCAGUGAUGCGUAUCCGCAGAGGAGCAGUACAUUGACCGGUAACCAGCUUGAUGACUGUAUCAGAUCAUGGUGGGAGUAAUAUUGCUGACACCACUAAUGCUAGUAGGAAUGGUAGGAAUAAUACCACAUUUAUUCCCAACAAGUUAAUUAGUAAAGGAGAUCAUUAUGAGAUUGUAUCCACUCAUAAUCUUAGUACUAUGUGUGUUAGUGCAGAUACUGUACUUUACAGUUUAAAAAAUAUGACCACCGUUUCAACCCUUAAUUCCAAUAUCCAAAGCAAUCUUGCCAGUAAUACAAAUACUGUAUCUACCAUACUUCCCAAUGCCAUGUGCAAUAUAGACAAUGUGGAUACGUAGUAACCCUCAAGUUUAGCACCCAUAUGACUUAUGCCAUAAAUCAGACCUUACUUACCCUUUCUAUGGAUGCCCUAGAAAGAAUGGAUACUGUAGUCACCCCUGUUUCUAGCGCUAAAUGUGUUCUGUACAACAUUUCUCCUAGUUCCAUGUGUGCUAUAGACAACACGGAUGCUGCAUUCAUCCCACUUCUGACACCAAUAUAGCGAAAAUGGCCUUCGUUAUACCGGGGUCGAUACUCAUAUUAGGGGCGGAAGAGGUUUAACAAACAGAUAUAAAUACAAUGCAGUCACUUACUACCACAGAUGGCCUUGGACUUCAGUUGGUGAUAUUCGGUUGGAUAUAUAUUUAUUUGUCUGAAAACUAAGUGAUUCACAGCCUCUUGAUCCCAACAUCAGAAAGUCCGUUUUUCAAAUAGACGAUUUCCGUCAAGAAGUCACCAACUACACAUGUGCACUUGCAAAUGGCGAACAAAGUGGAAACAUUGUUAUUGGACAGUACGCUGACGAUAACUUCUCGGGAUAUAGCUACGGAUCAGCUGAAAAGGAUCGACUGCGUUUAGAAACUAUCGCAGCUAUCAAGGAAGUUCGCCCAAAAAUACCAGGCAAAGAUUACAAGAUACAGUUUGUGCCUUUCUUCGAUUCUCACGGCAAACCUCAAG